GCAGAGUAGGUCCUUGGCGUUAAGUGACUAAGAAUGGGACGUAGUCUUAGUACGAAAUUUAUUGCGAUCAAGUACCGCGUUCACUGU
rnacentral:ncRNA from 1 species